rnacentral:rRNA from 1 species
GUGGGGAAUAUUGGACAAUGGGCGAAAGCCUGAUCCAGCCAUGCCGCGUGUGUGAAGAAGGUCUUCGGAUUGUAAAGCACUUUAAGUUGGGAGGAAGGGCAGUAAGUUAAUACCUUGCUGUUUUGACGUUACCGACAGAAUAAGCACCGGCUAACUUCGUGCCAGCAGCCGCGGUAAUACGAAGGGUGCAAGCGUUAAUCGGAAUUACUGGGCGUAAAGCGCGCGUAGGUGGUUUUGUAAGUUGGAGGUGAAAUCCCCGGGCUCAACCUGUGAACUGCCUCCAAAACUGCAUGACUAGAGUAUGGUAGAGGGUAGUGGAAUUUCCUGUGUAGCGGUGAAAUGCGUAGAUAUAGGAAGGAACACCAGUGGCGAAGGCGACUACCUGGACUGAUACUGACACUGAGGUGCGAAAGCGUUGGGAGCAAACAGGAUUAGAUACCCCUGUAGUCC